GACGAACGCUGGCGGCGUGGAUUAGGCAUGCAAGUCGAACGGUAUCAUCCUUUCGGGGGUGAGAGAGUGGCGAACUGGUGAGUAACACGUAGGUUAUCUACCCUCAAGACGGGGACAACCCAGGGAAACUUGGGCUAAUACCGGAUGUGAGCAACUUUUAGUUGUUUGAAAGGUGGCGUAAGCUGUCGCUUGGGGAUGAGCCUGCGUCCUAUUAGUUAGUUGGUGAGGUAACGGCUCACCUAGGCAAUGAUAGGUAGGCGGCCUUAACGGGUGGUCGCCCACACUGGGAUUGAGAUACGGCCCAGACUCCUACGGGAGGCAGCAGUCGAGAAUAGUCUACAAUGGUCGGAAGACUGAUAGUGCGACGCCGCGUGAACGAUGAAUCCCUUCGGGUGUAAAGUUCUUUUAUAUGUGAGCAGUGCUUCUUAUAUUAACAGUAUGGGGAGAGAGAUAUUAGCAUAUGAAUAAGCAACGGCUAACUCCGUGCCAGCAGCCGCGGUAAGCU
rnacentral:rRNA from 1 species